rnacentral:rRNA from 1 species
UUAUGUGGUCAAGGCUCGAGUUCAUCAGAUGUCAGAAGCUAUUCAGAACUGGGCCCGGUCAGUACUUGGAUGGGGGACCGUUGGGGAAUAUCAGGUGCCAUGGU